UACCCCCCCCGCAAUGAUAACUUGUGAACUCGGCCAGGCCUGGAAGGGAGCAACCGCAGCAAGUGACUCAUGUGCCGGGGUGCGGCUCUAG
rnacentral:SRP_RNA from 1 species